rnacentral:SRP_RNA from 1 species
UAUCGGCCCCCUCGCGGCGAACCGUUGUCAACCCCGUCAGGCCCGGAAGGGAGCAGCGGUCGCAGCGGAUUCGGGCGCCGGGGUGCGGCUGGUACGC